CAAAGUGUAGCUUAAACAAAAGCACCUGGCUUACACCCGGGAGAUUUCAAUUCAAUAGACCACUUUGA
rnacentral:tRNA from 1 species